rnacentral:lncRNA from 1 species
AACAAACAACAACAACAACAAACGAAACCUCUAAUCACAGGAUCAACACACCCAGCUAAAACAGCUCAACUUCCUCAUCACACAACACAGUUCUGGCCAGUUAGACACACGUCCCCGGAAAGGGCAUCUCCAGGAGAAUAAAAAGGCCAAGCCACUUUUUGAAGAAAGUCUUUGUCCCUACCCCCUUUUUCUACCUGGAAGUCAGACUCAGGCCUGGAGUGUAGCGGCCGCCUUGGUACCUGGAAGCAACAAUCAUGGCCGGGAGACCUUACACCUGGCAUGGUAGAGCAGACGGAGGAGGGGCCGCCUGGUGAAUAGCCUGGCCAACAGCCCCAAACUGCUACCCCUUAAAUUCUGGAUUUCAGGUGACUGCUGUAACUUGAAGCAAGAAAAGUGAAACUACAGAAAAGGGAGGACCACUGGACGGCUGCUUUCAUUCUACGCCCACUUUUUAGAGUGCAUUCCUACAAUAAGCACCCUAAUAAUGUAAACCAGGGGCCAAGGGAUGCACCUUCCACUCUACUUCCUUCCCCAGAAAAGACCACCUUGGUAAAUACAGAAUGGCAAACGGUUAAGUGAAACACUGUAUAGCUUCUGGCCCUAUACUUAGUAUUUCUUAACAUUUACACAGCAUUUUCACAUUUCCAAAGCAGAGUACCAACAUUUAUUAAUCCUCACAACACCCCUGUGAGGUAGGUCAGUAUGUCCUUUAGAGUCGAGAACUGAGGCAGAGGUCAAGCAAACCUGCCCUGGGCCACAGAGCAGCAGAUGAAGGGCCUAGACCUGGAUCCAGAAGCUAGGGCUCUCGGUCCAGCAUUCAUCCACUGGUGGACAUCACAUGGGCUUAUUUUUACCAGCGAAGGUUACGUGAAGGACAAAACGCACUCAGCCAGCAACGGAAACUCAACAGUUCAAACAGCACUGGGGAACAUGUCAGUUAAAGAGACGAAACGCUGACCAGCUCAUGAAUGAGGCAAGACAACAUGCGGCUGAGGAAGUGUGGAAUCAUCACGACUGGGGAUUAGACCAAGAACGGGCGCUCAGGAGGGUUCAGGAAAAUGUAAACAAACUAGGAACCCAUCCAAGGGGUGACAGGCCCAAAUGCCUACGGUCU